rnacentral:rRNA from 1 species
GACGAACGCUGGCGGCGUGCCUAACACAUGCAAGUCGAGCGGAGCGGCGGACGGGUGAGUAAUGCCUAGGAAUCUGACUGGUAGUGGGGGAUAACGUCCGGAAAAGGGCGCUAAUAUCGCAUACUAUCAGAUGAGCCUAGGUGGGAUUAGCUAGUUGGUGGGGUAAAGGCCUACAAAGGCGACGAUCAGUAACUGGUCUGAGAGGAUGAUCAGUCACACUGGAACUGAGACACGGUCCAGACUCCUACGGGAGGCAGCAGUGGGGAAGAGUGGACAAUGGGCGAAAGCCUGAUCCAGCCAUGCCGCGUGUGUUAAGAAGGUCUUCGGAUUGUAAAGCACUUUAAGUUGGGAGGCGUUACCAACAGAAUAAGCACCGGCUAACUUCGUGCCAGCAGCCGCGGUAAUUC